rnacentral:lncRNA from 1 species
CAUUAAUAUAGGCACCCCGCUGAUAUUGAGGGAUCACCUUUUAACCACCUUAGGAUAUAAAAAUCGUAGGGUCAACCCCUCUUCGAUGGAAAUAGUUGUGCCCUCCUAGGAUAUCACCACUAUAGCCCCUUAGGAUAUUGUUAAUGCACCAGUCAAUGUAAAUCCCCACCCCAUUUAACCUCGAGGAACUAGCAAUUAGGCAUUCCAGGCCAGGACAAAUGCCUAUGAUUGAAAAUUCAUAAUUUCUCUUUAGAUGGGGAAUACACUCAUUGCUUCCUUGCAUCACAAGCCAGGAUAAAGGCGGGACAUUUAGUGUUGGUUAAUUAAGAGCCUGGGGAAAAUUUCAUUUUGUGAAAAGUUAACUUGAUAUAUCUUGCAAGAGAAGUAUAUAAACCAUGCAGGGACAUAUGCAGGGACAAUGGACUAUGUUCUUUGUCUCGGGUGCGAGAAUGACAGCUAAAUGUGCUUGCAAUGCUUUAGAAUCCAAAUUCCUGCAUUUCCCUGGUUGGGUGGGGUGGGGAUUUACAUUGACUGGUGCAUAAUUCCCCUUUGGAUAUCAUGAAUUUUUGGAUUUCUUCCUAGGAUUUCCCAUUUUUUUCAAAAAUUUCCUAACCUCCCCACUAAGAAAAUUUAGAUUAAAAGAGUCCCUUCCCCAUUGGAUAUCCAGAUCCAUCAACAGGGAGUGCCUAUAUUAUAUGGAAUGGCCCAAAAAUGCUUGCACUAUAUUUUCUAACAAAAGAAAAAUAAUAUCGACUGAUAAUGAUAUAAUGUAUUGAAAUGGGCUUUGAAUGGGGCAUACCCCCCUGUCUAGGAACCGCUUUCUCACUUCGGUACUCCCAUGGAAUUUCCACAAAUUUUCAUGUAAUAUAUAUACCCCCUCCCAUGGAAUGUCCUUGUAAAAAUUACUUUUGCCCAUGGAAUUUCCAUUUUAAAUUAGGCCUUCCCAUGGAAUUUUCAUAUAAAAUUUGGGCCUCGUCAUGGAAUUUCCAUGUGUAAAUUACCCCUCCCUAUGGAAUUUCCAUCAUGGGACAUUUAUUUCCGGAAAUUUCCCUUUAAAAUAUGUCUUCGCAUGGAAUUCCCAUCCCUUGAAAUUUAUACCCCUCCGUCUGGAAAUUUCAUGUGAGAAUUACUCCUUCCCUAGUAUCCCCUGGAAAUUCCAUGGUUAAUGUGCCCUCUCCCCUGGAAAUUCCAAGGUUCCUCAACAGGGGCGAUGCAGAUAAUAAUUGGGAUAGCCCAAUGGGGAAAAUGUUUGGAAACAUUGUUUUUGACUUCAUGUUGUGAGUUGUGUCGAUGUUUGAAAGCAUUACAAUGAUCCUUGAUUUAAAUACUUGAAAAUGGUAUAAAAGUGUAAAACUUACCAUCAUAGCGUUUAAAUCUUGGAUAGAUGUUUUAAUACAAAUACAAAUCGUGAAUUUACAAGAUAUUUUAUACUUGUCUUGUUGCUAUGCCACCAAAUAUGGGAGUGGCAAUGGUGUCCUAUAUUUUAAUUAAAACUGCUUUCCCUUUCCACAAUUCUGCGCGAUCGUGAAAUUUUGCAGUCACGCCUUUGAUUUCCAACCAUAUUUAACUCCACUCUGUCAAUUACCAUUAUUAAUAACAAUAGAAUAAAAAAAUAAGGUAUAUAUAUUUCCAAUUGUUCCCACAGCUGUAAGGGGUUUGAAUGACAAAUAACAUUUAAAGUCUAUUCUAACACAUAUUGAUUAUCAGAUUUUCUUCAAUAUUUGUCAAUUUGCUCUUGGGUCCGCUGUACUAUCCGCUUCUGGUUUCCCGCCUUUUUAUAUUUUUUUCGCUUGUUGAAAACUGUGCAAAGUAUAAAGUUGCGGCUUUUUAAGAGUAUUAUGGACAGUUUUGUCGAAAAAAAACUUGACGAGUGGAAUCUCUCCUGCCUGACAAAUGUUCUUGAAGGUAAGUUCAUGCUCUUAACAAUGUAUUGUUUCAUUUUAAAGUUUUUUUUGUUGUUUAAUUAAACGGAGGUAAAAAAAUUCCCACUCGACUUCAGCGGACUUCGCUGUGCAUGAAUUAAACUACAUCUUCUUGUCGCUUUAAAGUCAUUCAAUAUAUAAACACUAGCAUUUUCUCUAGAUAAUAUGAUCGAUGAAGAAGCAUUUUUACUGCUGAACCAAGACGCCUUAAAAGAGAUGGAAAUACAUGUUGGACCGCGUAUCAAACUGCAAAAAAAGUUAAAAGAAUUUCAGGUGUGUUAAUGUUAACUUUAAAAAAAUAGUAUAGUUUAAGAAAGUAAGUGCAGUAUAUUUCUAUAUUACAUGUGUA